AUGAGGCCGGCUGUGCGGAGGAUACGGAGGAUGACAAACAUCAAACCGAUACCAGAAGCCAUCAAGUUUAUAAAUACUACUUUGGGGAUGGACAAAAAAGGAGUUCACAGCCUGGGUGCAGCUGAAGAUUUCCUUAAGAGGGAUAUUUCUGAAUCAUCAAGCAAGCUCGAGAAAGAUUGCUUCCAAAUUGCCUUCGUUAUUUUUUUCAUGGGUCACGUCCUUGCGCCCAACACCAAGCAAGAUUAUGGCAGUAUUGAUUUUUGGGGAGCGUUGGCGGACACUGAAAACAUAGACCAAUUCAAUUGGUGCGAGUACGUGCUUCAAUGCAUGCUUGCUGGUGUUAGGAGGCUGAAGAAUGAUAUUAGGUCUGGCAACAUGGCAACCAGCCUAGUAGGAUGCCACCUGUUCCUGCAGAUUUUCUUGCUUGACAACCUUGAUCUCUUCAUGAUGAAUAAGCCGCACUCGGUGCUUCCUAGGGUCAGUGUGUCUGAUCAAGACUCAAUCCGUAAAAUGAUAAUCCAGGCUACUGAUGUUGGGAAGUCUACCUCAUCUUAUGCGAGUGCUCCGAUAUGA
rnacentral:rRNA from 1 species